rnacentral:rRNA from 1 species
UCAAAACUUUUUAGCUAGAGUAUGAUAGAGGAAAGCAGAAUUUCUAGUGUAGAGGUGAAAUUCGUAGAUAUUAGAAAGAAUACCAAUUGCGAAGGCAGUUUUCUGGAUCAUUACUGACACUGAGGAACGAAAGCAUGGGUAGCGAAGAGGAUUAGAUACCCUCGUAGUCCAUGCCGUAAACGAUGUGUGUUAGACGUUGGAAAUUUAUUUUCAGUGUCGCAGCGAAAGCAAUAAACACACCGCCUGGGGAGUACGACCGCAAGGUUAAAACUCAAAUGAAUUGACGGGGACCCGCACAAGUAGUGGAGCAUGUGGUUUAAUUCGAAGAUACGCGCAGAACCUUACCAACACUUGACAUGUUCGUCGCGACUUUAAGAGAUUAAAGUUUUCGGUUCGGCCGGACGAAACACAGGUGCUGCAUGGCUGUCGUCAGCUCGUGUCGUGAGAUGUUGGGUUAAGUCCCGCAACGAGCGCAACCCUUACUUUUAGUUGCCAUCAUUUAGUUGGGCACUCUGAAAGAACUGCCAGUGAUAAGCUGGAGGAAGGUGGGGAUGACGUCAAGUCCUCAUGGCCCUUACGUGUUGGGCUACACACGUGCUACAAUGGUAUUUACAAUAGGAAGCAAGACGGCGACGUCAAGCAAAUCCUAAAAAAAUACCUCAGUUCGGAUUGUACUCUGCAACUCGAGUACAUGAAGCUGGAAUUACUAGUAAUCGCGGAUCAGCGUGCCGCGGUGAAUGCGUUCCCGGGUCUUGUACACACCGCCCGUCACACCAUGGGAGUUGGUUCUACCUUAAGGCAAAGUUUAAAACCUUUGACCACGGUAUAGUCAGCGACUGGGGUGAAGUCGUAACAAGGUAACC